UAAUUAGGAAUCGACUACCCGGAACUCGGGCGCGUCCCCUAGUUGACGAAUCGCUCCUCCCGCUCCCGCUCCCAAUACGAGCUCACGCUUUCUCGCCUCGCGCCCUCAAAACCCAAACCCCUAUCUAUGCCGGGGAUCCAUGCCCCGGCGCCGGCGCCGGCUCCGAAGACGGCGCUUGCUCCGGAGAGCAAGUGGAUGCUCGAGCGUGGCGGCGGGGAGGCGGAAGGAAUAAGGGGGGAAGCGGAGGCCAAGCAACCGUGUGGGGCUGGCGUAUCAGAAAUAUCAGCAGCAGUACAUGGAGAUCCCCUUGCUGAUGGGAUUACCCAACCUAGAUUUCAGGUAUCAUCAGGGCAGCAGGGCAGCUCUACAUUCACCCAAGAAAAGACCUCUCCUGACUACCAAAUUCCACAUAGGAAGGCUCACGCUGAUGGUAUACCCUUGCGGGCUGCGGAGCAAUUGGAAGUACAUGUUGGUAAUAAGGGAGGUGACAUCAUUAAGACUCUAGAAUCCAGGGAGUCUAGGGUUCACAUUCAGGUAAACCGGCAUGAUAUCCUUAAUGGUGAGAUUUCCAGGGGAACAUAUGUAGAACUUACAGAAAACGAGCAAAUAGGAGUUGAAAGAUCAGUGGCCAUGGAGAUCAACAGCCAGGCGAACUCUAUCUUGGGGAGCUCCGCCAUUGAUGAGAUUAUGGAACCUCAGAUGGCUGACUAUUUUGAUUUUAUGGGAGAUUAUGGUCUAGAUCAAGCAACCUGUGUAUCAAGUGAACAAGCAGAGCACUCCCCAGUUCAGUUGCAAGAACGAAUUACAACGGUGAAGGAAUUACUUGCAUCCGGGCUUUUUCAAAACGAGGAGAUUGUAUAUUUAUUCUCAAAAACAAAAUUGAGAGGCAAAAUUGAUGGUGUAUUUUACCGUUGCUCUUGUCACAAUGAGGCUAUGCCUGCGUCGAAGUUUGAGAAACAUGCUGGCUAUACCUCUCAUAAAGCAAAUGAGCGUAUCAUGUUGUGGGGUGAGCGGUGGUCGCUGCAUGGCAUUGUCGCCUAUCUCAAGUCACUCGGUUCAAAGGAAGAACAACUUGCAGCAAUUUGGAAAAUGAAGAAAAAGAAUGAAAACAGAAAGGCCUCGCGAGGCUUAGGUGGUUGAUCUGGGCUGGUAGUUUGUAAGAAUAUGGAUCGCUUGCCGGAGCAGCGGGGCGAUGCUACCCGCUUCGCAGACACGUCGUGGUCUGACUGCUUGUACACCCACGAGAACACGGACAACGCCGCCACGCCCAGCUCGCCGGAGGUCACAUAUUUAUCCUCCUCCUCUGUGCAUGUACUAUCGUUGGAUCGACACGGAAAUGCCAAACUGGGCGGUGACUGAGAUUCGUGAAAGAGGUCGUCAUGCAUGGGCUAGUUUGGACGCGGAAUAGCGCCGCGAGAAGGUGGAAGCAGAGGAGAAGAGAGAGUGGCAAGAGCACUGUGUGAAGCAGAGGGCUAUGAUUGAUGAGAUGUUGAAGCAAAGCUGAGAAGAGGAACUUCGACUGGCGGAGGUUUAUAGACAGCCACAGGAGGCCCGUGAGUCUGAGAGGGAGAGAAAGAAAGAAAGGGCUCGUGCGGCCAAGGCAACAGAAGAAGCUGGUG